GAUGAACGCUGGCGGCGUGCCUAAUACAUGCAAGUCGAACGCACAGCGAAAGGUGCUUGCACCUUUCAAGUGAGUGGCGAACGGGUGAGUAACACGUGGACAACCUGCCUCAAGGCUGGGGAUAACAUUUGGAAACAGAUGCUAAUACCGAAUAAAACUCAGUGUCGCAUGACACAAAGUUAAAAGGCGCUUUGGCGUCACCUAGAGAUGGAUCCGCGGUGCAUUAGGUAGUUGGUGGGGUAAAGGCCUACCAAGACAAUGAUGCAUAGCCGAGUGCAGAGACUGAUCGGCCACAGUGGGACUGAGACACGGCCGAAACUCCUACGGGAGGCUGCAGUAGGGAAUCUUCCACAAUGGGCGAAAGCCUGAUGGAGCAACGCCGCGUGUGUGAUGAAGGCUUUCGGGUCGUAAAGCAAUGUUGUAUGGGAAGAACAGCUAGAAUAAGGAAUGAUUUUAGUUUGACGGUACCAUACCAGAAAGGGACGGCUAAAUACGUGCCAGCCGCCGCCGUAA
rnacentral:rRNA from 1 species